rnacentral:rRNA from 1 species
AUGCAAACACGACGAGCAAUAAGCUCCGAAGCGGUGCCUUUAGGAAGUGCACGGCACCGGAGCAUCGCCACGCUCGAUCGAAGAAUCAGGGUUUCCCACGAAGCACACCGAGAAUGCGCCCCCGCCGCCGACCUGACCACAGUCAGAUCGGGUUCUCACCCCGACAAGAGCUCCUUGUCUCUGAUACGAAGUAGGCCAGUCACGAGGACCAGUGCCGUACCACCGCCACUACACGCCGUAGUUCCCUUACAAUUACAAGUACGUGUGGCUGACCGUCGAGCAUCCAUACAUACGACUCUCGAGUACUCCCUCCGUCCGUGUCAAAAACGCCCUUAUACUAUGGGAUGGAGGGAGUACUAA